rnacentral:rRNA from 1 species
UACGAAGGGUGCAAGCGUUACUCGGAAUUACUGGGCGUAAAGCGUGCGCAGGCGGUGAUGUAAGACAGAUGUGAAAUCCCCGGGCUCAACCUGGGAACUGCAUUUGUGACUGCAUCGCUGGAGUGCGGCAGAGGGGGAUGGAAUUCCGCGUGUAGCAGUGAAAUGCGUAGAUAUGCGGAGGAACACCGAUGGCGAAGGCAAUCCCCUGGGCCUGCACUGACGCUCAUGCACGAAAGCGUGGGGAGCAAACAGA